rnacentral:rRNA from 1 species
UACGUAGGUGGCAAGCGUUGUCCGGAAUUAUUGGGCGUAAAGCGCGCGCAGGCGGUUUCUUAAGUCUGAUGUGAAAGCCCCCGGCUCAACCGGGGAGGGUCAUUGGAAACUGGGAAACUUGAGUGCAGAAGAGGAAAGUGGAAUUCCAAGUGUAGCGGUGAAAUGCGUAGAGAUCCGGAAGAACACCGGUGGCGAAGGCGGCCUGCUGGGCAGUAGCUGACACUGAGGCGCGACAGCGUGGGAGCAACAGG